CCCCACACGUGCGGCAGCCGCAGCUCAGCCCCGGCAUGAGGGCAGCUCAGAUAGGGCAGGAAGCAGCCCGCUCAGCUGCCCGCCGCCGCCAUUUCCCACCCGCCGCCGCCAUUUGCUGCCGCUGGCACUAGGUGGUGCCCGUACACAGGCGGAGGGCCCGGCGCUGCCCGGCCGGGGCAUGGAGCAAACCUGAGGGCCGCCCUGGGCAGGGGUGCUGGGAAGGUGGUAUCCGCGGGGUUCUGCCGAGUGGAACGGCUCGUGUGUUAUGCCAUCAGAUCCAACGAAAAGACGCAAAAUCCUUUCUCACCAUGUGGGCUCUGAAGAAGCAGUGAGGGCCGCGUGGGACUGAGGACACUGGAGUCCCAUCAGCACAGGAACAGGAGGAAGGCACAGCAAGGUCACCUUCCAGCUCUGAGCUGGUGCAGAAGAUGGAGGAGCGGUGCAGAAGGCAGGUGGGACUGGAGACCCUGCAGAAUUAAUGGUCUUCAAUCCAGUCUUCAGGCUGCUGAGCUCCUCCUUUUGUACAGUCCUUUUCCAGAAGCACAUCUCUGAUUUAUGCAGCUUGACAAAAUCCUAAACCUGCAGUCUCCUUGUCCUCCUGUUAAAUGGCUUGCAUGUGUCUCCAUCCUCACCAUGCCUUCUCAGAGAGCACUGGUGUUGUGCAUCUCUCCAUCCCUCCGAGGUGCAUUUGGCCUUCCUUCUCUGCGAUUCCUCCCCUUCCCUUUUUCCUGACACAGACUCAAGUUUUAAAAAUCCAUUUUCCUUCUCUGAGCCACCAUUAUGCACAAAUACUUCUCUGCUCUUCUUCACAUGCCACCAAUUUCCUCCAGAACCUGUCACUCUCAUCUGGCUACUUAACUGUGUAAUGAUAUGAAAUAUUCACUCUAAUGAGCCCCUGCUGUGGAUACCACUUGAUCCUGCCUUGUUUUUGUUCUUUUUGACUCUGACCUCACUGAAUGUUGUACUUCGACUUUCCUUCUCCCAAAUUUCAAACUGCUUCCUGAAGCUACACCAUACGUGCAUAUGUACAGCUCAUACAACAUACGUCUUUUCUGCUGAUGUUUUCAGAAGGAACAAGGGCUAUCUUGAUGGGAAUUUUCAGCAAAUACCACGUGAUCAGUCUCGGACAGCUGCCAUGGAAACUUCAUCCUGAAGUUUUGCAAAGUAGAUGAAAAUAAAAUUUUGUAAUGAAAAAUGUCAGGGAACCUAAAUAGCAGACUGUUCCUUGGUGGUUAGUCCUUUGGCAAUUGGAAAGCACAGAGCUGCCAGCCCUUCAGCCUCAUGCACAGAAAUCAGCAUAUGUGGGACGAACAACCUGAUUAAAUGAAUACGAUUUAAGUUUUCAAGUGAAAGGGAAUCCAGAAGAACUACCCUAGUUGUGGCUUUAAAUACUGAACUUCUAAAUACUACCUCUGUUUUCUAUACCUUUGUGAUGCACCUACACAAACUAAUGGAAGGAUGAAAUGAUAGCACAGGGGCCUGGAGAUUGCUGCAUUCACGCUUUGUUUGCUUUGCUCAGGAUGGAAAGGCAGCAGGGUUGGGAAGAGCCAGCUACAGAGGAUGCUCUUCUGACAUGGUGGUUUGUUCGAUGGGCCUGAUCUAGAGCUAUCUCGCAUAAUUAAGAUCUGAGAAAAGACAACCUUCUGUCCCUUCCCCAUAAAUCUGUGUUUGCAUUCAAAUGCCGUGUUAUCAGGUCAUUCUGCACUGAAAUACUGCGGUCCUCCAAGACAAAAACAACUGUGUAUCAGGGAUUUUUAUCUUCCUUCUGCUGAGAGUUUCCAGUGGUGAAUGUAAGAAAGUGAAUCAUUUCUAUGCAAG
ensembl:lncRNA